rnacentral:snRNA from 1 species
CUGAUGCCCGCGUCGCGAUAGUA